rnacentral:rRNA from 1 species
GAUGAACGCUAGCGGCAGGCUUAACACAUGCAAGUCGAGGGGUAUAGUUCUUCGGAGCUAGAGACCGGCGCACGGGUGCGUAACGCGUAUGCAAUCUACCUUUUGCAGAGGGAUAACCCAGAGAAAUUUGGAUUAAUACCUCAUGGUAUGUGAGAAUGGCAUCAUUUUCACAUUAAAGUCACAACGGCAAAAGAUGAGCAUGCGCCCCGUUAGCUAGUUGGUAAGGUAACGGCUUACCAAGGCAACGAUGGGUAGGGGUCCUGAGAGGGCGGGCCCACAGACUGGUACGGAAACACGGACCAGACUCCUGAGGGAGGCAGCAGUGAGGAAUAGUGGACGAUGGGCGCGAGCGUGAUCCAGCCAUGCCGCGUGAAGGAUGACGGUCCUAUGGAGUGUAAACUGCUUUUGGACAGGAAGAAACACUGGUUCGUGAACCAGCUUGACGGUGCUGUAAGAAUAAGGAUCGGCUAACUCCGUGCCAGCCGCCGCCGUAAUAC